rnacentral:tRNA from 21 species
GCGCCCGUAGCUCAGCUGGAUAGAGCGCUGCCCUCCGGAGGCAGAGGCCAGGGGUUCGAAUCCCUUCGGGCGCGCCA